rnacentral:tRNA from 1 species
GGCAGUGUGGCUUAGCAGAAAUAGUAUGUGUCUCAGAAACACAAAAAACUAGGUUCAAAACCCAGCUCUGUCA